GACGAACGCUGGCGGCGUGCUUAACACAUGCAAGUCGAACGGAAAGGCCCUGCUUUUGUGGGGUGCUCGAGUGGCGAACGCGUGAGUAACACGUGAGUAACCUGCCCUUGACUUUGGGAUAACUUCAGGAAACUGGGGCUAAUACCGGAUAGGAGCUCCUGCUGCAUGGUGGGGGUUGGAAAGUUUCGGCGGUUGGGGAUGGACUAGCGGCUUAUCAGCUUGUUGGUGGGGUAGUGGCUUACCAAGGAUUUGACGGGUAGCCGGCCUGAGAGGGUGACCGGCCACAUGGGGACUGAGGUACGGCGCAGACUCCUACGUGAGGCAGCAGUCGGGAAUAUUACACAGUGGGCGGAAGUCUGAUGCAGCAACGCCGCGUGUGUGAUGACGGCCUUCUGGUUGUAAACCGCUGUCGCUUGUGACGCAGCGUGAGUGACGGUAAUGGGUAAAGAAGCACCGGCUAACUACGUG
rnacentral:rRNA from 1 species